UACGUAGGGGGCAAGCGUUGUCCGGAAUCAUUGGGCGUAAAGCGCGUGUAGGCGGCUCGGUAAGUCUGCUGUGAAAGUCCAGGGCUCAACCCUGGGAUGCCGGUGGAUACUGUCGAGCUCGAGUCCGGAAGAGGAGAGUGGAAUUCCCGGUGUAGCGGUGAAAUGCGCAGAUAUCGGGAAGAACACCCGUGGCGAAGGCGGCUCUCUGGGACGGUACUGACGCUGAGACGCGAAAGCGUGGGGAGCGAACAGG
rnacentral:rRNA from 1 species